rnacentral:lncRNA from 10 species
GAAGCAGAGGGGACGAUGAGUUGACUUUUGCUGAUGGAGCCUCUCUGAAGGGCAAAUUCAAAGUACAGCUGGGUGCUGCAGCACUGGAGUGCGAACUUGUGGCUGUGGUUAUGAAGGAGCCUCGUCAGCUAUGCCUUUAGCCCCUGGUGAAGCAGUGCCAGUCACACUUUGCCAGUCAAACGGAGAGGCAGCAGUAGUAAGACCAGACCAAAUCAAACCAAACCAAGCAAACCACGGGGAAUGGAGGUCAUGUGAGCACACAGCAUAAAGGCAGCUGCCCACAAGCCAGGAAGAGAAGCAUCAUCAGAAACCGACCAUACUGGCUUCCUGAUCUCAGACUUUCAGCCUCCAGAAUGAUUAUUGCCUGCUCCUCCAAGCCCUUCACUGUAGAAUGGAAGCCUGUGAUUUUCCUGGCAUCAUGCAUGACUGAGAAGGUCAGUGUGGCUAAUUCUGAGCUUCAACAUCAGGAAACCCGUAGUUCUUCACACUGAGCCGCCUCCUGCAGCACAGUCAUCCUUGGUAAUAAAGCUGAUAUUUUAAUCAAUA